UACGUAGGGUGCAAGCGUUAUCCGGAAUUAUUGGGCGUAAAGAGCUCGUAGGCGGUUUGUCGCGUCUGCUGUGAAAACUGGAGGCUCAACCUCCAGCCUGCAGUGGGUACGGGCAGACUAGAGUGCGGUAGGGGAGAUUGGAAUUCCUGGUGUAGCGGUGGAAUGCGCAGAUAUCAGGAGGAACAGCCGAUGGCGAAGGCAGGUCUCUGGGCCAUUACUGACACUGAGAAGCGAAAGCAUGGGGAGCGAACAGG
rnacentral:rRNA from 1 species